AAUCACUUCCGGGGUCAACAAAUCUUCCACAGGAAGGUUAUCUAACUAACUUGUACAAUGAGGAAGAUCAUAUGAAACAUUAUCAUCACAUUGUUAAGGUGAAGUGACAUCCUAUCGCAAUGAGCGUCCCUUGUCUACUGUCCACGGCUGCUCGAAGCUUCACAUUGCCGGGAGCGUCCGGUGUUCUGCUACGCGGGUUCCGUGUAUUGUGCACUUGUUCGAUCACAAGGAAAAUGUCAUCCAGAAGACAAAUGGAUCAUCUAGAGAGGACAGCCAGCAACUACAGACAAGAUGGUGUAUAUCCGGCGCAGGUAUGUGGCAUCAUGGACGAGUCUGAGACAGUGAAACGCCUCCGGCUAGCUGUCCAUCCAGACUUCACUUUCAGAGCUGGCCAGUGG